GCCCCUGUAGCUCAGCUGGAUAGAGCAUCGGACUUCUAAUCCGCAGGUCCCAGGUUCGAAUCCUGGUGGGGGCG
rnacentral:tRNA from 1 species